AGCCCUGCCAAUAUGUGGACCUAACUGACCUGAUGGGGCAAAAAUAAUCAUCCUGUGUUGCCAAACCCAGACCCAACACCACAAAUAUGUUAUGUGGCCUCUUCAAUAAUAAUGGGUUUACAGGGCCAGAGACCUGAGCUUACUUCUCUUGAUGUUGGCACCCAGACCUGGCUCCCUCACAUAGAUGGGACUGCCCCAAGACCUCGGGACACAGCGAGACACUACAAGGGACUCCAUUUCAUGCUCAUUAACCUGGACUGGCCAGAGCGUUCACAGGUGGCUUGAUCCAUUCUCUCUACCUCUACCUAUGGGCUCUGUGAGCUUUCAAGAUGUGGCUGUAACCUUCACUGUGGAGGAAUGGGCUUUACUAGAUCCUUCCCAAAAGAAGCUGCACAAAGAUGUAAUGGAGGAGACCUUCAGGAACCUGGCUGCUAUAGGAAAAACACAAGAAGGCCAGAACAUAGAUGAGGACCAUAGAUAUUCUAGAAGAAAUCAAAGGUAACUUUACCAACUCAGGAUAAUGUAGCUCAACAAUAUGGAAAUGGCCAGUAGGGGUUUUUUUGUUUUGAUUUGGUUUGGUUUUGGCCAGUAGUUUUUAAAAUCAAGACAACAUCCCAAUAAGCUCAACUUCAAGGUGAUGUAAUUUAAAGCAUUUCUCUCCAAAAAAGUGCAUAUAGAAUUGAAAAUAUUUAUGGUUUUAUGUACACAACUUGUAUCCAAGCACAACGUUAAUUAAAAAAAAUGUGUGUAC